GUAGUUAUCGAAAAGUAGCGUUGACGCAUAUUUGUUAACGGAAUAUUAGCAUGAAUAUGCUAUAUACUUAUGCGCAUUUAUUAAUAAAUAAAAUAGUGACUAUCAAGUUGCGAAGAAGGAAAUGCUGCUAUUCCGGGUCGGUCGGCGUUGGUGUUCGACGUAGUCAUUUUCCUCUGACUUUUGUUUUCAGCACGCAAAAGUCGUUUUCUAUUUCAAGCAAAAUAAAUGUGUUAAUAAGUACAUAUGUAUGUACAUAAUAAUUUUUUUUUAAUUAGUAUACUGCGUGAUACUGCAAAGAAUUUCGAAUAUAAUAUUUCUCCUACAACGACCUUGACAUGCGGAUUUGCAGCUUCAUUCAUGUUGUGUUGUUUGAUAACACAGUGUCUAAUACUAUGGCAACGGGACCGGAGGUGGCAACUCAAAGAAAAAACGUAUGCUUUUCAUUGGUUUUUAUACAUGGUGGCUCACGAAUCGAGCUACAAAACAAAAGUCCGUCAUUUCUGCCCAAUGGGAAUUCAGACAUGAUUAUGGAGGAGUAACUUGGAGACGGCCAUUAAAACGGAUAAUUCAUAAUAAUUUAAACGUGUUUUCGUACAAAAUUGAAAUAACAAGCCGGUUAAACCCUCUAGAAUUGCCUAGUCGCCAAAAUUCAAUGAAAUGGCCGAAGAAGACAAUAACUGGAAAAAUUGCAUGUUUAUGCCUGAUGAGGACGGAAAUGUAAACAAGCAAAAUUGCCGUAUAUGGAGUGACUCAAAUCCAAAAAUAAUCCAAGAGACUGAACUUCACCCAGAACGAGUCACUGUGUGGUGCGCUGUUUCAUCAAGGUGUAUUGUCGGGCCAUACUUCUUUGAAGAAAACGGUGUAACAGUAACUGUUAAUGGGCACCGUUAUUUAGAGAUGUUUAAUGAGCUUUUAUACCGAGAAAUGCCUCGAAGCCGUAUCCCUUUCAAUAGCGUUUGGUUUCAGCAAGAUGGAGCAACUGCGCACAUAGCCAGAUCGGAUAUUGCGCAGCUCCAACGAAAAUUUGAUAAUAUCAUUAUAAUUUUCGCUGGCCCCUAAGGUCACCUGAUCUUACUGCACCAGAUUACUUUUGAAGGGGUUAUGUCAAGCAAAAGGUGUACAAAACAAAGCCCAGAAAUCUGUUGAACCCUUCAGGCCGCAAUGAAUAAUUUUCUAAUUAGGUGUCGCAUAUGCGUGGCUGAGCA